rnacentral:rRNA from 1 species
GACAGAGGGGGCAAGCGUUGCUCGGAAUCACUGGGCGUAAAGGGCGCGUAGGCGGGAUGGCAAGUCGGUCGUGAAAUCCUUCGGCUCAACCGAAGAACGUCGGCCGAUACUGCCGUUCUUGAGGGAUGCAGAGGAGAUUGGAAUUCCCGGUGUAGCGGUGAAAUGCGUAGAUAUCAGGAGGAACACCGGUGGCGAAGGCGGCUAUCUGGACAGAAACUGACGCUGAGGCGCGAAAGCUAGGGGAGCAAACAGG